rnacentral:rRNA from 1 species
GACGAACGCUGGCGGCGUGCUUAACACAUGCAAGUCGAACGCUGAAGCCCUUCGGGGUGGAUGAGUGGCGAACGGGUGAGUAACACGUGGGCAAUCUGCCCUGCACUCUGGGAUAAGCCUUGGACACGGGGUCUAAUACCGGCUAGGACACAUCGCCGCAUGGUGUGUGUGUGGAAAGUUCCGGCGGUGCAGGUUGAGCCCGCGGCCUAUCAGCUUGUUGGUGGGGUGAUGGCCUACCAAGGCGACGACGGGUAGCCGGCCUGAGAGGGUGACCGGCAACACUGGGACUGAGACACGGCCCAGACUCCUACGGGAGGCAGCAGUGGGGAAUCUUGCGCAAUGGGCGAAAGCCUGACGCAGCAUCGCCGCGUGGGGGAUGACGGCCUUCGGGUUGUAAACCUCUUUCGACCGGGACGAAGGAUUCGUUUGACGGUACCGGUAGAAGAAGCACCGGCUAACUACGUGCCAGCCGCCGCAGUAAUAC